rnacentral:lncRNA from 1 species
GGUCAUAUUAAAAAGAUAUGUCAUGAACACGAUAGAACUACAUUUGUAUCAUUCACAAAAAAAAAUCAUUUGACUCCAGGGUCAACGGAAAUGAUGUGUCUAUUGCAGUGCUAACAUGGCUAAUGAUGAGUUGACAAAUCUUACUUAAAAAGAAUGCAUUAGCAUAGCAAAUGUCAAAAUUUCGCACGGGUAUAGAGACAAGGAUGUAAUGUCAUACUAAAAAGUAUUACAAUAAACUGAAUCGGCUUAAUUGAAACAUUUGUUACAAUUGUAACAUCUUCUUUUUUAUGUUAAAAUCAUUAAAAAGAUAAAACAAGCAAACUGAAUGUCGAAGUUGAAGGUCAUCGAAGGCCCAAAAUUCAUAUAGGUUUUGCCGAUUAAAAAAGAACGCCAC